GCUUUUCAACUGUAUAACACGUCACCAGUCUCUGUCCAUUAAUACUAGUUAAUAUAGGAGACUGGAUUGUCUCCAGUACUAUGUCAAAACUCAAUUUUUUGUUUUUUUCUUUCACACUUUAAUUUCUCAUAGAUCUAUUAGAUCUCUCAAGACAUCACACAAACCACAAAUCAUUCUUUCACACUCCAUUCAAAUUGUCACUCCCUCUACCUAUUCUCUCAAACACACAUUUGUGCUGCACAAAUCUAGUCCCAAAACUUGUCCAUAAAACUCCAACCUCAGAUUCUUCAUUUACCUUUCUCCAUCUCUUACUCUCUUUUCUCCUUCUUCCUACUACCAUGCUAUCAUAUCUGCUAUCAGAGAUUCUGUUGCUGGAGUUGAAGCUACUGUUUUAUAGGACAAUGACUUAUUUUUGUGUUCAUCAUCGACUGUAAUUUCUUUGAUUAAUCCUCGAUGCAGGAGAUAACAAUAAAGAUGGGGAAGAAACAUGGAUCAAGAAGAUACUAGGCAAGUGGAUAUACGCCGUAGAGGAAGUAACACGGGGAAAAACAAAAACCAAUGAAGAUGAGCACUCCCUAUAUCUGCGGAAAGAACUUCUUCAAGUGCAGCAGGUGCCCCACCCUCUUCAACGUGCCUCCGUCCCUGAUCACAAGCUAUGAUUGAAGAAGAAACUCAUAAGAACUUGCAUUCAUGUUUAAACCGUAAGGCAACAGCUCUUAAAGAGUCAAGCAACAACGAUAUAUAUUUUCCCGAAGGCUAAAAAUGUACAGUGCAUCUUGAGGAUUUACUACAUUUUCAAUGGCACUAGAGAAAAGAAAAGCCAUUAAUUGUCAGAACCUGCUUGGAGGUACAUAUAAUUCAUUAUGGGAACCAUCAGACAUGAGCUGUGCAAUUCGUCUCAAGCACAAGAAUGUGACGGCCAUUGAUUGCUUAAGUUCUU